AUUGAACGCUGGCGGCAUGCCUAACACAUGCAAGUCGAACGCGAAAGAGGGGCAACCUUGAGUAGAGUGGCGGACGGGUGCGUAAUACGUAGGAAUCUGCCCUAAAGUGGGGGACAACCACGCGAAAGCGUGGCUGAUACCGCAUAAUCUCGAGAGAGUAAAGGUGGGUAGCAAUACCUAUCGCUUUAGGAUGGGCCUACGCCGGAUUAGCUAGUUGGGAGGGUAAUGGCCUACCAAGGCAACGAUCCGUAGCUGGUCUGAGAGGACGACCAGCCACACUGGGACUGAGAUACGGCCCAGACUCCUACGGGAGGCAGCAGUGGGGAAUAUUGGACAAUGGGGGAAACCCUGAUCCAGCAAUGCCGCGUGUGCGAUGAAGGCCUGCGGGUUGUAAAGCACUUUCGUUGGGGAAGAAAUACUUGUAGCUAAUACCUGCAAGGGUUGACGUUACCCAAAGAAGAAGCACCGGCUAACUCUGUGCCAGCCGCCGCAGUAA
rnacentral:rRNA from 1 species